CACUGAUGAUCAUUAAUAGAUUCAAGAAUGUCAGCAAGGAAUUUAGCACACAAUUGGAGUGUGUUAGGCUAUUGAAAAUGGGAGCGAAGUCCCCCCGCACGGCCCCUGCUUACCUAGCAGCGUGACCAUGAAGCAAUGCAUGAGCAGUGAGAUCUUAACGUGCACAGAGUCAGUCUGCUUCUCUAGACGCUUGCUGAACUCACCACCGGGAGCACGUUUGGCGUGCACUUAAAGAAACCAUAUCUGACUCAAACCAGCCAGAUGUUUGUUUUAUUCAUACGAGAUUUCAGCAUAUUUGGAAGAAGCACCAGAGACCUUCCUGUUCGCUUUUCCCAACAGCUACUUGUUGGAGAAGAUUAGAGGCAGCUAAAGGGGCCAAUGUUUUUUUUUUUUUUUUUUUUUUUUACUUUUCCACUUAA